GACGGAGGGGGCUAGCGUUGUUCGGAAUUACUGGGCGUAAAGGGCGCGUAGGCGGUAUAGCAAGUCAGAAGUGAAAGCCCUAGGCUUAACCUAGGAACUGCUUUUGAAACUGCUAGGCUAGAGUACUGGAGGGGGUAAUGGAAUUCCUAGUGUAGAAGUGAAAUUCUUAGAUAUUAGGAGGAACGCCGGAGGCGAAGGCGAUUACCUGGACAGAUACUGACGCUGAGGCGCGAAAGCGUGGGGAGCAAACAGG
rnacentral:rRNA from 1 species